CCUGAGUUUCCUAAAACUACGGACAUAACUGAACGCUCUGCAUAUAUUUUGUAUAUACUUAUUUACAUGUUGCCUAUGGUCCACUAGAAUGGAAGCAACCUGACGGCAGAGAACGUGUUUUUGCCUUUCCUUGUAUGCCCAGUGAUCGCCGCGGUGUCCGCACACAGUAGGCGCUUAUUAAGUGCUUGCUUACUGGUUGCUCCGAGAGGGCUUCGGGGGCUCACCCCUGGCCAUACCCACUACUCGGCUAGCGAGGACGCCCGGCCACAUGUCCGGCAGGGCCCACAGUUUGGCUUUCCAGCAGCGCAGCGCUAAACACAAGGCCCCACCCGACCCCGGUGGGAGGGGGGACCCGAGCAGGGCCCCGUGGGCAGCGGCCAACAGCCGGUGGCCAGAACAGGUAGUGGGGGCCGCAGAUUAAAGCACGGGAAGGCGGCCAGAACGCACCGCAGUCGCAGCUCGCCCCGGGCGCCCUCGCGUCCCCGCGGGCGCCGCUGUCCGUCUCCCGAGGGAAGGGUCCGCGGACAGACGGGCCCGCGAAAGGGGGCGCCUCCUCCCCUCCCCCGCACACUCCGACACUGACCGUCGCCCGCCCACGAUCUCUAUGAAGCCCCCAAGCGCGCCCGCCGGGCCCUGACGUCAGGCUACCGCACAAGAAGCGGGCACGCAUCGCGCGCGGAGCAGAGCCCCGCCUCUCCCCAUCCCCGGUCCCACCUCCGCCCCUCCUUUUGUCUCCACGCCCCGCGGGGCCAGAGAGAGCUCGGAGCGCAUGCGCCCUGAGAGCAGAACCAGGUGAGGGGGAUGGGGCUGGGAAUGCUGCGUGGUGGCACGCUGGCCCACGUUCUUUCGCGCCGGGGCCCGAGUGCGGUCAGGGAGGAAGGAAGGUAGCGCACACCUUUGCUCCAAUGGCUGCAGCCCUUCCGCGCGCACUCCCCCAGGGUAGGAUGGACGACUACCCCGAGGACCGUUCACUGAACUGGCUGGACAGAGAAACCCAGAAGCGCCUUAGCAGACAGGGCCGGGAGGUGCUGCAGCGGGCGCAGAGGAGAGCUGUCAACCGGUCCUCACUGGGGGAAGAUCUUCGGGGAGAAGGGAAACCGAUAAACCUCAAUACUUCAUUCAAUACAAUGAUGGAAUACAUGGAUUACGUUUCAAGCCAGUGUGGGAAAAAAUCCACAUCCCAAGACCCUAGAGAGAGCUACCAAGUAACAAAGAUUGGCCCAGGACCAUCCAUGUUUGAUCCAGGAUCAUCCAGGUUUGACCCAGGACCAUCCAAGUUUAACACAGGACCAUCCAGGUUUAACUUGGGGUCAUCCAAGUUUGACCCAGGACCAUCCAGGUUUGACCCAGGACCAUCCAGGUUUGACCCAGGACCAUCCAAAUUUGACCCAGGACCAUCCAGGUUUUACGCAGGACCAUCCAGGUUUGACUUGGGGUCAUCCAAGUUUGACCCAGGACCAUCCAGGUUUGACCCAGGACCAUCCAGUGUUGGCCCAGGACCAUCCAGGUUUGACCCGGGACCAUCCAGGUUUGACCCGGGACCAUCCAGGUUUGACCCGGGACCAUCCAGGUUUGACCCGGGACCAUCCAGGUUUGACUCGGGAUCAUCCAGGUUUGACACAGGGUCAUCCAGUCUUGGCCCAGGACCAUCCAGGUUUGACCCAGGACCAUCCAGGUUUGACCCAGGACCAUCCAGUCUUGGCCCAGGACCAUCCAGGUUUGGCCCAGGACCAUCCAGUCUUGGCCCAGGACCAUCCAGGUUUGGCCCAGGACCAUCCAGUCUUGGCCCAGGACCAUCCAGGUUUGGCCCAGGACCAUCCAGUCUUGGCCCAGGACCAUCCAGGUUUGGCCCAGGACCAUCCAGGUUUGACUCGGGGUCAUCCCAGUUUGACCUAGGACCAUCCAGUCUUGGCCCGGGACCAUCCAAGUUUGACCCAGGACCAUCCAAGUUUGACACAGGGUCAUGGAGUCUUGGCCCAAGAUCAUCCGAGUCUAUGGCCAGAACAAGUUCAAAGGACAUCACGAUAGAAGUUUGUCCAGGCACCUAUACUGUCACAGUAGGGUCCCCUAAUGUAACCACAACGCACAUGAUAGAGGUUGACUCAGGAGAAAUCAUCGAUCUGAGUUUCCCUCUUUAA
rnacentral:lncRNA from 1 species